rnacentral:rRNA from 1 species
AUGUUGCGGACCUUUUCUGAUUGCAUGGCACAGAAGCAUCCGAUAUCUGUGAUCACAGAUGGGGACCUUGCAAUGCAGAGAGCAAUAAGGGUGGUCUGGCCAGAAUCAAACCAUAGACUAUGUAUAUGGCACAUUCAGCAGAACAUUGUACGCCAUCUGCAUGAUGACGACGUAAAGGAGGAAUUCAGAUCUUUCAUUUAUGAUACUUCUUCCAUUGAAGAGCAUGAGAUAAAAUGGAUACAAUUCUUACAACGGAAUAAAGUAACCAGUGAGGAGUCUUGGCUGCAUCAGAUGUAUCAGAUGAGAAAGUUGUGGUGUGCUCCAUAUCUUGAGGGGCGUUGUUUCCUAGGAUUGAGCAGCAAUCAAAGGAGUGAGAGCUUGAACUCUGUGCUACAUACGCAUCUUGAGGGUAACAUGUCGUUGUUUGAAAUGCUAGAGCACUAUGAGCGUUGCCUUGCGUCGCGACGGAUUAACGAAGCUCUCCAUGACGUCGAAGCCUUGCAGUCCGUUCCAUUUACAGAGGAAAAUGCUUCGCCGCUUGAGAAACACGCCGCAACAGUUUUCACACCUAGGGUCUUUAAGAUGGUCUUAUGGAGCAUAGAUGUUGUCAGCAAAUGUCAGAUUAGAGAGAUACUAGAUGGAUCAGAAGAUUCUACUUAUGUUGUGUCCAAGCAGGAAAGAAUGGAUAAAAAGUUUGGAGUGCGCAUUGAAGAGCAAGGAGGUCUUUUGCACAAGGUGAGUUGUUCUUGUCGUAAGCUGGAAUGCGCAGGCACACCAUGUUCCCACAUUUUUUACAUAUUGGGGAUUUUAAAACAAACAAUUAUGCCCGGUUGUUGCGUUCCCACUAGGUGGACUAUGAAUGCAAAAUGUGCAUACGCACCUACUAGAAAAACCAUAUGUAUGACUAUUCGCUAA